UCCCGACGCAUGUCGCAAAGGGCUCAAUAAUUGAUAUCCGAGAUUUCAAAUUCGAAUUCUAGUUAAUUUACAUUUUCAACUAAGUUUAUUUCGAAAUGAAAUAAACGAAGCAGAUAACAUGUUAUCUAUCUCUUAAAAAGAAAAAAAAAAAACUACUAUGAUUUCUCUACUAUUGUUAAUAAUAUAAGAUAUUUAAACUCUUCUGCAUUAUUAGAUAUGGAAUUAUUGGCGUUUAUAGAUAUCUAAAAUCGUAAGCUCAACUGCUAUUUUAUGUAACAUUAGUUCAGUUAAUCAGAAUUAGCAACUUAUUAAAUUUAAAGCGCCGGUAGAAAAAAAUUUAACACCAAGUUGUUAGCACCGACGUGCUGUAUUAGCUGCACUUGUAGCCGUUGUACUCUUCCAUAUUAUUCGAUUUAGAAUUAUUUUGAGUGUCUCACCUUAUGUCCACAAACAUACUUAAAUUAAUUUCAUUAUUUUUAAGAUAUAUAACAAAAUUAUAUAUGCAUGUCCUUGUCGAGGCCAUAUCAGAUACGAAUUUGAAUAUCUCAUUCCUUUGACUCACCCGUUUCGACCUGAUCGAGUUUUGAGUACAUAACACCACCGAGACCCGAUAACAUACUUGUGUAUGAAAUACAGAGAGAGAGAGAGUUGAACUGGAAUGCUAUCAAUAGUAAACGAAUUUUAUUAUCAUUCAUUUGUUUUUAAUAGUAGGGUCUUCAAAUCGACGAUCGAUAUCGUUGAACUUGAUUUAUACCACUUGAAGUAUUUAGAAACUAAAUUUCAAAUCUUUUUGACAUCAUUAGCCUAAUUAUCAAGGGUUUGAAAAUUUAUAAUUUUAAUGACCAAUAUGAGGUGUUGUUUAACAGCGUAAAGAUAUCCAAAUCAAUUGAAUUUUGGUUAAAUUUUUUUUUAAAACUAUUUAUAACAAGAUCUAUACUCAGCUUUAUUGUAAGAUUUCUAUCAUCACUUUUUAAAAGAUAUUUAUUUCACUUGAAGUAUUUAGAAAUCAAAUUUCAUACUUUUUUUUAAAACUAUUUAUAACAAGAUCUAUACUCAGCUUUAUUGUAAGAUUUCUAUCAUCACUUUUUAAAAGAUAUUUAUUUUCUGUCGUUCAAUUUUUUGUCCACUUGAUUGAUAAGAGAACAAUAUAAAAAAAAGUAUGAAAUUUGAUUUCUAAAUACUUCAAGUGAUAUAGAUUAUGUUAAACGGCGCUGAUCAUCAAUUUGAAGGCUCUAUAAUUAAAAAUGAAUAAGCGACCUUAGAGUCUGUUUGCUACAAAUAGCAUUCCAGCCCAACUCUCUCUCUCUCUCUCUCU
rnacentral:lncRNA from 1 species